UUGUUUUGUGUCUUGGCUUGUGAACUCACGGUGACUGAGAGCUUCUUGAAGGAAUCCAGCCUCCAAGAACAACUAGAAAACCCAAACACUUUUGUUUCUCUGAAAUUUGCAGAUACAUUUACAUACAGUGACUGUCUCAAUGCUGCCAUUUGGGGGAGUCUCAUAAAGACUUGGUUUGAAGAAGCACCUCGCCAUUUAGAUUCUUCUGCCAGGACAUUUUUUUGUUUUGCUUCCUUCUCCCUUUUCUUCUCUAGCAGAGAACAGGCAGGUUGGGAAACUUGACUUUGACCAGGAGAAGAAGUAUGCGCGGGGCAGGGAAUAACAGGCACCAGGAAGAUUAAUUGCCCUCGUUGGAAUCCGGCUUGACUGGGUGAGAAGCACUUGAAACAGUAAACAGCACCGUGGAGAAUUCCCCAGUGGAGCUGCGGUCUGCUUCCUUUCGCAGGCCCGCAGGCCUGUUUGCUGGCAAUUCAGGCACGUGUAAGUGUGCGUGCCCCUGUCCAGGCCCCCCGGCUCGUGGCACUGAAGUCAGUGGCCUUCUUUUUGAGUGUGCAUCACGCCUGGGUUUUUUGGUGUGAGAGGCAAUCUCCUACGACCUUACCUUCUCAGCCACGGAGGAGAAGGGCGAAACAUUUGAGCUUCGUAGGACAAAAUCCACUGACUUCCAAAGAAAAGAAGAGUGCAGAAGAGGAAGGAAGAGAUGUGGAGUCAAAGUUGGAACUCACAUGUCUUUGGAUCUCUUUGUGAAAGUCGGCAAAGCCUCUGAGGGCUGAGAGCUUUGCGCUGAAUAAACACUCAGAAAUGGAGAGCUGCUGACCUCAGACUCCUUCAGCCCUUGACCUGGAAGCUCUUGCAGGUCAACUGCCCUCCUCCCUCGCUGUCCCUGAGCACACAAUGUUUCCCUGCCAUGGGAGGGGUCUGCUGACCCUGACUGCAGUGCUGUGGGUCCCCCCGGCGAGACGAAGCUGGACCUUUGGCUUCUCAGGACGUUCUAGUGCUCCAGGAAAGUGGAUAACAGGAGCAAAUUGGAUGCUGUCCUUACAGGAUGAUGACCCUCCCCAUCUGCCACAGCUACAGAGAAAAUGGCGGGGGGCUCGGGGCGAGACCAUUGAGCGCUUGGAGCCCAGACAGGCUCUUAGAUGUGCUGUGCUAAUUAGCCAAUUAUUCUCCCCGUUUUUACCAAGGUCACUACCCUGGGCCGAGGAGGGCUGUUCUCUUUUUGUUUAGCUUCUCCUCAGCUCUGUGAGGCCUUAGAAGAAGAAAGUAACAAGAGGAACGAGAGCCAUGAUAUGACUGUGAGGAAGAACACGAGACCCCAUUGAAACAAAACUUCCAGUCCUUUAUUCAUUACUCCUUCAUUCAUUCAUCAGAUAUUUUUAGAGCAUCUUCAGUGUGCACAGAACCAAGCUAAUUGCUAACAUCACAAAUGAUGAUGUUAUGAAGGUUAUGAAGAUUUUCAUCCUUCCAGAAGAACUCUUGGCAUGGGUAGGUGAUAAAGUGGUGCAUGCCUCUCCUGGGAACGGCAGGGAGUUCAGUCGCCCUUCCUAAGGAUGCUUGAGAGGGCACCUGUGUCUGUCAGCUCUCUCUGCUCUUGUCCCUUGUCACUUCUUCUUGUUUCUCCCCUGGCUGCUCUGGCUCUCUGUAUUCUGAUUUGCCCCAAAGUAUGAACAAAUUUUCUUCCUUUACUGCCCAGGACUGCAGCUGUGAGCUGUGGUAAAUAGAUCACAGUGGUGUUUUAAAAGUUACUGUGAGAGAAUUACAACGCAGAGAGGCAAGACUUGCUAUCACUGUUCCAAGGGCAUCUCUCAGCCCUGGCCACUGGCUGUCUUUCUGGUGGAGUCCACACCCACCUCCGUGUUGUCCCUUCUACUAGCCUUGGGGGACUUUCUUAGUGGCCAGGCGAUGUCUCCUUAGAGGUGCACCAGGCCACCCAAGGGCUCGAUUUUAACACUGGCCUCUUUUAGUUUUAGUCUUUCUUUUUGCAUCUGUCAUUGGGCACUUUCUUUGCAGAUUAAAAAGUACACCACAGUGUUUUCCCAAAUUAAAAAACAAAAACAAACAAACUAUUUUACCCUGUAGAUAAAUUCUUUUGCACAACCUAGAAUGCAGAAAUAGCCGUGGGCAGCUUUUAGAGGAGCAUUCUGCUUCAUAAUUAAGAUGACAGGGCCGCUGCUCGCAGUCUGAGCGUACUGGGAGAGACAAUGGGUGAACGCGCUUUGCAGCAGAAUAUCGUAAGUGACAUGACAGGGCUGUGCGUGGGCUGCUAUAGGACCACACAGGAGGGAGCGUUUAACUCUACCCGCUGAUCCUCCCAGAAGGCUUUAUAGAUUGACCUGAGUUAGGAAUUUUCCAGGAAGAUAAUGGGGAGACAGCAUUCCAAGCAGCUAGAACAGUAUGUGAAAAUCACAGAGGCAUGAACGAGACUGACAAUCUGGAGGAACAACAAGUUUUUGUGUGACGGUAGCAUAAGAUGGGGGAAGGGCAGGACCACAUAGCAUGUCCAGAGGUUGGGACGCAGGGUCUGCCUCCAGCAUAUAAAAUUCAACCAAUGAAAUAAAUAUUGGUUGAAAGAAUGAAUGGUAAGCUGGUCAUGGGUUCCAAAGACCUGGAUAGUAACCAGCAUCUCGGGCACAUACAUCUGGCUGAGGAGUUGCAUUGUAGAAGUUUUUGAAUGGCAUCUCUUUUUCUGCCAGUUUUAAGGGGUAAUUUGGGAAUGAUUUUAAUAAAGAGGCAAGUUACAAUGAUGUGGUCAGGGGGAGGAGGACUUCAAGGGACAGUGAAGUGCCUGCAGGCUGUUACCAGCCCUCAAGAGAAGAGGCAUGGAGUGUCACUGGAACCCAGAGGGGAAAGUUAUGUCGGUGGGCCGUCUUAGCAGGACUUGUGAACUUCAUGGAAGUUGACAGACACCUGGAAGAGGCUGAGGGAAAAAUACUUUGCUAUUAUUCUCCUCUCUCCCUUCAAUCUUCUAACAGGCCUUCCCAGUGGCUGAAGGACUAGGGAGCCUGUGCCCCUUCGCAGGCAGAGACUUAGGUGGUGGUUUACGGCCACCUUCGUCUUUGCUCACGCUCAAGGUCAGGAUGCACAUGGAGGCGAACACGAGUCUCCCUCCAAGGACUCCACCUGUUUUCAUCUUCGGCUGUAUCUGUGGCUUCUGAGUUAUCCAGGCUUCAAAUUAGUCUUGAGGCAAUUAGGUUUCCCUUCUUUCCAUAGAUGCAGCUCAUUUUUUGAUCUCUAGAGGACGGUCUGGUGAACACUUGACGGACAGCCCAGCCCAGUUGGUUGCUGAGGUUGGAGAGAGUGAGUUCAGCUGGAUGCUGCAGUAGCAAGGCAGAAGGAUCUUCUUGUGGAUUUGAGAUCUGAUCUGAAAAUGCGAAGUCUCAAAUAUAAAAAAGGACAUCACUGGACUAUUUGUGCCACGACUGAACACAGCCCUCACAUGUGACCUCCUAGAAGGGGAAGGCAGGUGACAUGUGCUGGUUGUCUACCAUGUUCGGGUCCAGGUCAGGUACUUUGCAAGACUGGAGCUUUGGAGUAAUUGAACUUGGAGGUCCUCAUUAGUCACCAGCAGAUUCACAGCUGUAUUGAAAACAACCUUGAUAAAAAAGAAAACUUCCCAUCUCUGUGAUUUACUUCUGUUAAACCGGAGAAUUUUUUUUUUUUGCAGACCUUUGAAAAAUUAAACUAAUGCAAAAACCUCUGUGGGGAAUUGUUGCCACAGCUGGGUGGAACGCAUCAACUAUUAAAUAAUGACACUUCACGAGGCAGCUGAGCAUAGAGCAUGGUGGCCCACGGAAGCUGCAGAAAAAUCUAAAUAGACAGAAUGCAGAAGCUCAGUAGGAAUUUGACUAGGCUAAUAAUAUUUCAUGGGUAUAUAAACCUGUAAUUUAGCCUCCGGAUUUCUGCCCUCUGUUUCCCUUCUCUACUUGGUUUUUCUCAUGUACUUUCCAACAAGGAAAAUAAGGUUGUCAUAAACCUUCCACCUUGGUUGAUGGAUUCAUUGCAAGCAGCGGAGGCUUUUUUUUACUACACACCACAAUUAGGAGUCAGUGGGGCUCAAUGAAACUAGAGGAUUUUACACAGUUGAGCCUGGCAGCUCUUUGGUUUGUUGGCAAUCUCUUGGUGAUCCUGAAGCCCCUCUUCUGGGAAUUCCAUUUUUACAAAUGAAGCCAACCCAGGAGGCUCUAACUUUGACCACCUCUUCCUCAGUGAAGUCCUAGUAACCCAGGUGGGUGAACUAACAUUUCCCUUUGUAGGCUUUGCUAAUACCCAAUUCCUUUGCCUAAAUGAAGAUGAUAACCUGCAUCAGAGAGACAGAAGUGUGGCUUCCCGAACACCGCGUUAUUUGGAGGAAAUGUACUGACGAAUGCUAGCAUGAAAUCCUAACCUUUCUGACUUAGCUGAAACCAAAUUGAAAUUAUUGUUGCCAUCAAUCAGGAACAGUUUUUAAAACCUCUGCCUUCUGGAAAUCCUUUCUCUGUGACUUUAAUAGCCCUGGUUAUCCCGUUAGGCACAAAACCAUUAUUUUUUUAAAGGUGAGAUAUAUUUUGUUAAUUCCUGCUUUUACUUGUUAUAAGAUACUCUAGUGCCUUGCAAAACUGCCCCAUUAAUUGUGAGCCUCUCUGAACGAGGGCAGCCACACGCCACUGGCAUCUGCUAGUUGCAGCACUACCUGAUCCUGCUUUUUCUCAGCAUUUCUGCAUCUUCCAGAUGCUGCCACUUAUGUCACGUCUAGUUGAUGCACCAGAGUCCUGGACUGUCAAAGUCUCCUAAAGCUGUCAGUGUAUUUUAGGUAAGGGAAUAAGGACACUGUUAUUCACUAUUAGCCAAGUGCCAAGGGGGCAUUUCUCUCCGCUACUAAACUAAAAACGUUAAACAUCUUAUCAUUCCUUCAGUUAUAAUUUGAAAUCUGUUUUCCCCCUAAGGAAUAAGAAUCUACAGGGGUUGGAAGAACUACCCAGAUGUCAGGUGCUAUGUUCUUUCUCUCUGGCGUUGGUGCUCUCUGUCAGCUCUCCUGGGAGUCAGUUUGCUCCUAGAGGCUCCUCAGUCUUUCAGUGUCAGACGUGUAUGGAAUCAUCGCUGGAUGGCAGACACACUAUUUAGCACUUCAAAAGUACACAGGAGCUUCAUUUCCUCUGCGAUCCAUCACUGAAGAAAAAGCCACUGUUCACCAUCACUUAUUCUUAACAAAUGCUUAAUACUGCUCUUGACGUGGGCUGGAUCCUGGAGGGAAAACUAGAAUCAUGAAGACCCGAGACCAAAUUUCAAUGAGUGUAUGGUCAACAGCUAUUGCACGAGGUGGAAUGCGGGCAGAUGUGCAGAAGUGGGAAGUGCUGGGUUUGCUCAGGGAAAGAUGAUUCCAGUGGUUUGGAAGAGGAGUUCCGUUCACAUGAGAGGGAUCUAUGGAGGAUAAAGUAGGAGAGAUGAUGAGGUCGAACCCAAUUCCCCUGUCCUGGAAUGCUCUUCAUUCUUAGUCCUCCACUGAGCCUCCUUCAACCCCAGCCUGUCCAGUGCAUCCUUCUCACUUCUGAGCCAAAACCAGUCUCCCCUUCUCUGUGCUAUCCUCCCGCAUUGCUUAUAAGUCAAUAAGCAAUAGUCUCGUGCCGGAGUUGAUGACUAUAAAUUCACGAAGGAUGAGUUCUGGGUCUUUGCAGUCUGGUUUUCCCUGCAGAGUGCAGAGCAUGAGGUAGGCAGUGUUUAAAUAUUUGUCAAGUGUAAGUGUUCAUAAGUAGUGACUCUUUAGGGAUCGAUUGUGGAAGAAAUGACGUUCCUCUUGUGAACAGGUGAUCCUGUCAUCUCCCUGGUGUGGCUCUGGAUGGCUGCACAGCGCGUCCGGCGCAUGGUGAUAAUUCCAUAUGUUUUUAAGCUCUGGUGUGGAAUGCUUAGCCUCUGUCAAAUUUUAUUUGAGAAUAAAGACUUGUCCUGUGCUCACGCAGAUGUGAAGCUCUGAAAUGCCAUCCACGGCUGUGGGAAAGGGCGUCUCACCUCACGCUGGAGGGUGGCUGGAGGCGUGGGGCGAUUCUUCCUGCUGCCUUUGUCCGGUGACCGCGGUGGCUGCACAGUGCUGGAGAUAUUCCACUUCCUGCUGCAAGUGUGGAGUGGGGACUUUCGCCUUCUCCAGUGCUUUCCUUUCAGCGUCUCCAAGGCUUGCCUGCUGGGCUGGAAAAGCAUCCCAGAGCAGACACGGCUGGCUCUGGGGAAGAAACCCACAGGCAGCGGGAGGUAAAGAAGCAGGCUCUGAACCAGGGUCUGCAGAACCAGCCAGGGUUCCUGAGUUUGCUGCCAACCAACAGCAGAUCCUCAAGAACAAAGAGACGCAGAGGGAACAUGUGACGGGGUGGGGACACCUGGGUCCUCUGU